AGUGAACGCUGGCGGUAGGCCUAACACAUGCAAGUCGAACGGCAGCACAGUAAGAGCUUGCUCUUACGGGUGGCGAGUGGCGGACGGGUGAGGAAUACAUCGGAAUCUACUUUUUCGUGGGGGAUAACGUAGGGAAACUUACGCUAAUACCGCAUACGACCUACGGUUAAAACAGGGGGACUUUGGACCUUUCCGCGUUUGAUUGGGCGGAUGUCGGAUUAGCUAGUUGGCGGGGUAAAGGCCCACCAAGGCGACGAUCCGUAGCUGGUCUGAGAGGAUGAUCAGCCACACUGGAACUGAGACACGGUCCAGACUCCUACGGGAGGCAGCAGUGGGGAAUAUUGGACAAUGGGCGCAAGCCUGAUCCAGCCAUACCGCGUGGGUGAAGAAGGCCUUCGGGUUGUAAAGCCCUUUUGUUGGGAAAGAAAAGCAGCAGGUUAAUACCCCGCUGUUCUGACGGUACCCAAAGAAUAAGCACCGGCUAACUUCGUG
rnacentral:rRNA from 1 species